rnacentral:rRNA from 1 species
GACGAACGCUGGCGGCGUGCUUAACACAUGCAAGUCGAACGGUGAUGACAGGGCUUGCCUUGUCUGAUCAGUGGCGAACGGGUGAGUAACACGUGAGUAACCUGCCCCAGACUCUGGGAUAACCCCGGGAAACCGGAGCUAAUACCGGAUAUGACACCAACCUGCAUGGGUAUGGUGUGGAAAGUUUUUUCGGUCUGGGAUGGACUCGCGGCCUAUCAGCUUGUUGGUGAGGUAAUGGCUCACCAAGGCGACGACGGGUAGCCGGCCUGAGAGGGCGAGCGGCCACACUGGGACUGAGACACGGCCCAGACUCCUACGGGAGGCAGCAGUGGGGAAUAUUGAACAAUGGGCGAAAGCCUGAUGCAGCGACGCCGCGUGAGGGAUGACGGCCUUCGGGUUGUAAACCUCUUUCAGCAGGGAAGAAGCGCAAGUGACGGUACCUGCAGAAGAAGCACCGGCUAACUACGUGCCAGCCGCCGCGGUAAUAC